rnacentral:rRNA from 1 species
GAAGAACGAGGGAGGCGUGCUUAGCACAUGCAAGUCGAACGGAAAGGCCCUGCUUUUGUGGGGUGCUCGAGUGGCGAACGGGUGAGUAACACGUGAGUAACCUGCCCUUGACUUUGGGAUAACUUCAGGAAACUGGGGCUAAUACCGGAUAGGAGCUCCUGCUGCAUGGUGGGGGCUGGAAAGUUUCGGCGGUUGGGGAUGGACUCGCGGCUUAUCAGCUUGUUGGUGGGGUAGUGGCUUACCAAGGCUUUGACGGGUAGCCGGCCUGAGAGGGUGACCGGCCACAUUGGGACUGGGAUACGGCCCAGACUCCUACGGGAGGCAGCAGUGGGGAAUAUUGCACAAUGGGCGGAGGCCUGAUGCAGCAACGCCGCGUGCGGGAUGACGGCCUUCGGGUUGUAAACCGCUUUCGCCUGUGACGAAGCGUGAGUGACGGUAAUGGGUAAAGAAGCACCGGCUAACUACGU